GCAGUCUAUAGAGAGCCUUUGGAAAGGAAACAGUACUUGAUAGAAAUAUUCGAUUUCAAGACAAUGAAGAAAAAGGAAAUUGAUGAAACACAAGAAUUAAAGGAUGGCACACCACACAACAGUCUUUGGAGAGACAUUGAAAAGGGGUAUUUGACAGGCCGCCGGAGAAUGUUUCAAAUUUGCCAGAAAUAUUCGAUUUCAAGACAAUGAGGAAAGAGAAAACCGAUGAAAUACAAGAAUUAUAGGAGAGUCAUACAUUUUUUCUCAUAUUUUUCCUGGACAUUCAUCGAUGAGAAUCAACGAUUAAAUCAACGAUAUCGAUCAUCGACGACAGUCAUCAAACUUGGAAAUGGAAAUCCUUUCAAAACCUUAUUUAGUGCUUAGCUAUUACUGUUUAUUAGGAUAUUUUUCAAUGAAUUUAUAUUCUGAAAUAUUUAUCCAGGGAUUUUUAAACAAAAAAAAUGUGAUUAUAUUAGCUAGGAAAUUAGAAAUGCUAAUCAGUAUUUUAAAGCAGAAUGGAGAAAUUUUAAAUGGACAAGAGGAUUCAACAUCUGGCUGUCAACUUGAAGGCAACAGUUUUUCAUCAAAGAUACGGGUGACGCAUCACACCGCAGUCUUUGGAGAGACAUUGUAAAGGGAACACUAAUUGACAGGACAUCGAAGAAUGUUGCAAACUUGCCAAGAAUCUUUGAUUCCAAUGCGAUAAAGAAAGAGGGAACAUAAGAAGUAAAGGGGAAUAUUUUUCCUGCGACGCAUAUUCAAAGGAGGAGUUUAUGGUGGGAUUUUCCAGUCAAUGAGAAAUAAUGAGAGUAUUUUUCCAUGCGACGCAUAUUCAAAGGAGGAGUUUAUGGUGGAAUUUUCCAGUCAAUGAGAAAUAAUGAGAGUAUUUUUCCUGCGACGCAUAUUCAAAGGAGGAGUUUAUGGUGGAAUUUUCCAGUCAAUGAGAAAUAAUGAUGAAGUUUUCAACAUCAUAUUCUUCUGAAGGAGAGGAAAGGACACAGGACAUUAUCAAAUUAUAUUAUUAUUGUGAAAUGUAAUUUAAAAAUUAACGACGACUUUUUUGUACUGCGAUUUAAAAAUUAUGUAACAGUAUUUAGAUAAGGAUUGCGAUAUUUUUAUGUAUUAAAUAAGAAAGAAAAAAAUAGUGACGGAAGAGGAGAAGAAAGAAGCUGAAGAAAUCGUACAACGAACGAAGACCGAAACAUCUUCUUUCAAACAGGAAUGGUAUUACUGUGAGUUUUUGAUUAAUUUAUUUACUUUUUUAUAUUUCUUAGGUAUUACAGCGGCUAACUAAGAUCCAAUUUGUUUAUAUUUUUUCUUAAAGUCAUUCUUGAUAUAUUUAUACAAAAUUAUAAAAAACCUUGCACUUUUAAAAAGUGUACUAUUGAAAAGAAUAUACAGUAAGAAUAUAGCUUUAUACAUAAAAAAUAUUUAUAUACAUUUUUUAUG